UACGUAGGACCCAAGCGUUAUCCGGAGUGACUGGGCGUAAAGAGUUGCGUAGGCGGUUAGUAAAGCGAAUAGUGAAAGAUGAUGGCUCAACCAUCAGAACAUUGUUCGAACUCACUAACUCGAGAAUGGUAGAGGUAGCUGGAAUUUCUAGUGUAGGAGUGAAAUCCGUAGAUAUUAGAAGGAACACCAAUGGCGUAGGCAGGCUACUGGACCAUUUCUGACGCUGAGGCACGAAAGCGUGGGGAGCGAACCGG
rnacentral:rRNA from 1 species